rnacentral:tRNA from 1 species
GCAGAGAUGGCUCAAUAGUUAAGAGCACUGGCUGCUUUUCCACAGGCUGUGGGUUCAAUUCCCCAUACCUGCA